rnacentral:lncRNA from 1 species
UAUAUAAUGACCGAUCAAAUCGGUGUUUGCUAGUUGAAUUCCUUCUAUUAAAUAUUGUGGUGCUGAAAGAUGAUGUUCAAAAGAAUUGCGAUUCUUCUCUCCUUGCUGGUUUUGAGCUGCUUCGCAGCUCCCUUGCCUGAAGCUGAUCCGAAGGCCAGCCCCUGGGUGUACUUUGGUUGGGGCCCGUACUGGCGCUCCUGGUACUGGUCUUACCCCCCUGUUGUCUACUAUGGAACGCCCCAUGUGGUUGUACCCUAGGUAGCACCUUUGCACACUUCGACUGCUACCCAAACCCAUCUAACAGUGUUGGAAUAAAGCUUUGAAAACUGGGAAAA